GUUGCCCAGUUCAACGCUUCUUUGCCUGCUCGCUAUCCUAGGAGUAAAUACAGCUUUGAAAAAUCAAACAGAGCAACACUGGAGAGAAAGAUUCCAGACUCAGAAUUUAUACACGUGUGGCAGUAAGCUGUGAAGGUUGGUAGUGAAACUGCUGGAUUCUUUUCCUUUUGGAAUGCAAACAAUGUUUUUGAAGAAAUGGGAACAACAUCUUCUGGGGGAAUACAGUUACUUUUCAAAGCUACAGAAACUCUCGCAUAAUCCAGGAGCCGUGGGAAAUUCAUAUCAAUGAGACAAUAAUGCUGAGGCCAUGGAAAGGCAGACACACAGACACCAUACUGGAAAGAUAAAGAUGAAUUCUGAGUGCCCAUGAAGCAGCUCUUCUCCACUCAGCAGCACAAAUCCACAGCUGAACGGCAGUGGAAUCUCAGGAGGAAAUACAGCCAAUGACAAAAAUAAUGGUCACAGGAACAGAAAUAAUCUCCAGGGAACAGGCAGAAACUGCAAAAAAUCAGGGAGCAAAGAGGAGAGAGGGAAUGAAAACACCUUGAGUAUGGUCAAUGUCAUGUGAUUAUUAAGAGAACAGAACACCUUCCUGCUGCAUCCUUCUGCAGUGCCCAGCACAAUGAACUCCUAAUUGAAGGAAACAACUUCAAAAAGGAAAGUAAACACUAUGAAAAAUGGCAUUACCAAUCUGGAUAUAAAAGAGGAAUGUGCAAGUACAGCCUCCAGCAUGAAAUUCAAGAUGACAUCAGCACGCUGGUGUGUCCUGUUCAGACUCCUCAGGAAUUCCCAGACCUAUUGCAGACUGCUGUGUAGCUGAAAGAAAUUAAAUAAUAAAUAAUUUUGUUAUGUCACAAGGAAUAAAACCCAAGUAAGUCUGGAUCUCACAAGACUUUCUUCAAGAUCUUCAAAUCUGAUAAUUGUGAACUCACGUCUCAUCUCUGAUUUUUUUUUCCAAGAAACUUGUACUGUCUUGUUAUGUCUUUAAUCCCAAAGCUUCAGCAUUCCUGUCUCUUCAGUUUAAAUUUAUUCCUUGACUUGAAUUUAAGUCCUAGUUCAGUGAACCUAAAGUUCUGGUUACAUAACUUGCCAGACAGUAAAAGUUAUUUAGAAUGUACUAAAAGUAAAUGAUGAUAAUGAACUUAAACAAAUGUGUUUAAAUGUAUCUAUUUAUUUCAAAAAGGACUCAUGGAGGUACAAAUGUCUGUCUUGAACACGGUGCUUGUAACUCAGGGCUAAACUAACAUUACCAGCCUUUCCUUCUUGGCAGGAUAUUUAAUACUUCUGUAAUUAAAUAUCUUAGAUAUGUGCAGUAAAAAUAAUCUGGGUUACCUCAAGACAAAAAAAAAAAAAAGUCUCUUUUGUUCCCAGAAUCACAAAAUAUUCUGAGUUGGAAGGGAGCAGUGAGAAUCAUCAAGUCCAGCUCUGCAGUGAAUGGCCCAUAUGUGGAUCACACUCCCAACCUGCCCUGACCCAUGGUUAUUGUUGCAGAAAUUCAGAGCUUCAUCCAGAGACUAAAAUACACUCCCUGAAUUUUGUUCCAGUCCUUGUCUGCCAGAAAUGAAAGAGCACUAAAUGCACCUUAAGCACCACUGCAGUUUGCAUAGGCAGAUAUUGGUGUAAUUCUAGUCACUUGCUGCAGGUAUUUGGAAUAAAGAUGAAUUACAACUC